rnacentral:rRNA from 1 species
GACGAACCGUGCAAACGUUGUUCGGAUUCACUGGGCUUAAAGGGUGCGUAGGCGGGUGAUCAAGUCAGGGGUGAAAUCCUCCCGCUUAACGGGAGAAGUGCCUUUGAUACUGGUCGUCUUGAGGGAGGUAGGGGCAUGUGGAACUUCCGGUGGAGCGGUGAAAUGCGCAGAUAUCAGGAGGAACACCGGUGGCGAAAGCGGCGCGCUGGAUCUCUUCUGACGCUGAGGCGCGAAAGCCAGGGGAGCAAACGGG